AUUGAACGCUGGCGGCAGGCUUAACACAUGCAAGUCGAGCGGAGAGAGGUAGCUUGCUACUGAUCUUAGCGGCGGACGGGUGAGUAAUGCUUAGGAAUCUGCCUAUUAGUGGGGGACAACAUUUCGAAAGGAAUGCUAAUACCGCAUACGUCCUACGGGAGAAAGCAGGGGAUCUUCGGACCUUGCGCUAAUAGAUGAGCCUAAGUCGGAUUAGCUAGUUGGUGGGAUAAAGGCCUACCAAGGCGACGAUCUGUAGCGGGUCUGAGAGGAUGAUCCGCCACACUGGGAUUGAGACACGGCCCAGACUCCUACGGGAGGCAGCAGUGGGGAAUAUUGGACAAUGGGCGCAAGCCUGAUCCAGCCAUGCCGCGUGUGUGAAGAAGGCCUUAUGGUUGUAAAGCACUUUAAGCGAGGAGGAGGCUACUUUAGAUAAUACCUAGAGAUAGCGGACGUUACUCGCAGAAUAAGCACCGGCUAACUCUGUGCCAGCCGCCGCGGUAA
rnacentral:rRNA from 1 species